UACGUAGGGGGCUAGCGUUGUCCGGAUUUAUUGGGCGUAAAGAGCGUGUAGGCGGCCAGAUAGGUCUGCUGUGAAAACUCGAGGCUCAACCUCGAGAUGUCGGCGGAAACCAUUUGGCUAGAGUCCGGAAGAGGAAAGUGGAAUUCCUGGUGUAGCGGUGAAAUGCGCAGAUAUCAGGAAGAACACCCGUGGCGAAGGCGGCUCGCUGGGACGUGACUGACGCUGAGACGCGAAAGCGUGGGGAGCAAACAGG
rnacentral:rRNA from 1 species